CACGUAGGGCGCAAGCGUUGUCCGGAAUUAUUGGGCGUAAAGAGCUCGUAGGCGGUCUGUUGCGUCCGCUGUGAAAACUCGGGACUUAACCCCGAGCCUGCAGUGGAUACGGGCAGACUAGAGGUAGGUAGGGGAGAAUGGAAUUCCCGGUGUAGCGGUGAAAUGCGCAGAUAUCGGGAGGAACACCGGUGGCGAAGGCGGUUCUCUGGGCCGAUACUGACGCUGAGGAGCGAAAGCGUGGGGAGCGAACAGG
rnacentral:rRNA from 1 species